AAUGUUACGUUCAAGCAAGUUAUUUCAUGACAAAAUCUUUGAAUUGAUGUUAUUUCAAGUAUUGUCUUGCCAUAAAAUGUUUCAAUUUCAGUAUGAUAUCUAUCUGAUAUGGCUUUGCCAAUUAUCAUGUAAUCGAAUUCGAGUCUUGAGCAGUUGAUAGCUAUCCUGCCUUGGCUAGUGUACACCAGUGACCGUGAGUCAUCUAGCGGGUUGGCCGGUCAAGUGACCGUGAGAGGUGGCCACCUCUCCGGCACACAG
rnacentral:lncRNA from 1 species